CCUACGGGAGGCAGCAGUGAGGAAUAUUGGUCAAUGGGCGAGAGCCUGAACCAGCCAAGUCGCGUGAGGGAGUACUGCCCUAUGGGUUGUAAACCUCUUUUGUCGGGGAGCAAAAGCCGGACGUGUCCGGCUGUGCAAGUACCCGAAGGAAAAGCAUCGGCUAACUCCGUUCCAGGAGCCGCGGUAAUACGGAGGAUGCGAGCGUUAUCCGGAUUUUUUGGGUUUAAAGGGUGCGCAGGCGGAAUGUUAAGUCAGCGGUAAAGUCGGGGGGCUCAACCCCAUCCAGCCGUUGAAACUGGGGAUCUAGAGUGUGCGAGAGGUAUGCGGAAUGCGUGGUGUAGCGGUGAAAUGCAUAGAGAUCACGCAGAACCCCGAUUGCGAAGGCAGCAUACCGGUGCACAACUGACGCUCAGGCACGAAAGCGUGGGUAUCGAACAGGAUUAGAUACCCCAGUAGUC
rnacentral:rRNA from 1 species